UGCGGGACGCCGAAGUCGGGUCUCGCGAUGAACCACUCGCUGCAAUUCAGGAGACUACCCAUGAGC
rnacentral:sRNA from 1 species